rnacentral:tRNA from 1 species
GUCCCUGUAGAGCAAUGGAUUGCGCGUUGGACUUUUAAUCCAAAGUUCGUGGGUUCGAAUCCCACCUGAAAUG